AGAUCAUUUUAUUUCCUUGUUGGUAUUCUUUCUCUAUUCAACCAUUAUUUCAUUUGAUGUAAAUGGUUUAUAACAAACCGUGGAACUUGUUGAAAGUUUUUAUGCAAAUUGUUAUCAAUAAAACCUUGGUCUUCUCAAUACUGUGAAUUGAGAGAAGGUCCCUCUACACCGUGAGCAGAGGAUCUUGGCGCUUGUACCUAUCAAUUGGUAUCAAGAGA